ACUUAAAUAGCUUAUUUAGAGUAUAACAUUGAAAAUGUUAAGGAAAUUUAUUUUUUUAAGUA
rnacentral:tRNA from 1 species